UACCCUGGCAAUGGGCAAAGAGACACAUUGGUGGUGUUAUUCUUUUAUCAGUCAGGGGCAGAGGAGAUGGCAAUCCUUUGUUCAUCCUAGUUUGGUGUCUGGCUUGGUGGCCAAAGCUGCCUUAUGCCUAAGUCUCAUGA